AAACCUCGCUCACCUCCUUGCCCACCAGAGACCACACCAUCAGAGUCCAUCCCAAGGCCCUGAUGUGGAGGCAGCUGCCGCUUGUGAGCAUGCCCCUUCUCCCCACGACCAUUGAUGCCGCCAGUGAACUGUGAACACGGUGGCUGUGAGAAUCCCCUGGGAUGAGCUAUGCCCCCCUCGUCAGCUGAGAAGACGUCACAGGUGAAAAAGCAACUGGAUGUUUCCUGGUCCUGGCAACCCAUCAACUAAAUUUCCCUUGUCACCUCUUAAAUUUAAGA